rnacentral:rRNA from 1 species
AUUGAACGCUGGCGGCAUGCCUUACACAUGCAAGUCGAACGGCAGCACGGAGCUUGCUCUGGUGGCGAGUGGCGAACGGGUGAGUAAUAUAUCGGAACGUACCCAAGAGUGGGGGAUAACGUAGCGAAAGUUACGCUAAUACCGCAUACGAUCUAAGGAUGAAAGCAGGGGACCUUCGGGCCUUGCGCUCCUGGAGCGGCCGAUAUCUGAUUAGCUAGUUGGUGUGGUAAAGGCUCACCAAGGCAUCGAUCAGUAGCUGGUCUGAGAGGACGACCAGCCACACUGGAACUGAGACACGGUCCAGACUCCUACGGGAGGCAGCAGUGGGGAAUUUUGGACAAUGGGGGCAACCCUGAUCCAGCAAUGCCGCGUGAGUGAAGAAGGCCUUCGGGUUGUAAAGCUCUUUUGUCAGGGAAGAAACGGUGAAGGCUAAUAUCCUUUGCUAAUGACGGUACCUGAAGAAUAAGCACCGGCUAACUACGUGCCAGCCGCCGCAGUAACAC